GAAGAAGCAAAACAGAAGAACUGAAGCUAUCAUUACGUGUUGUAACUUCCAGCCGUGCCUUCAGGCCAUAUAUUAAGCUGGUUGUUGAGUUGUUUGUGUCUUAGCACAAUGCAUGCCAAUGAUUAAGUCACCUGGUUUUGUUUUAACACCGCUAUCAACAGCAGCGGAGGAGGGGAGGACACUAUUGGGCCAGUUUGGAAGAUAAGAUGAUGACCUCUGUCACCCUCAGACACACAGUGGGGGGACUUUAUCAAGCAACAGUUUAAUUUACACCCUUUGCUGACAAUAAAGCAAUACCAUCUGGACUCA